rnacentral:lncRNA from 1 species
UUUCAGUUUAUUGGAGAGGAGAAGGCAAAACUCACAAGUAUGCAGUUUAAAGAUAGUGCUUCCCUUUGAUACUUUCAGUCUGUUUUAAACAGGUCAACUGAAAGACCAGGUUUUUCUCUGAGCUGAAAAGAUUGCUAUUUUUUGUAAUUUAUUUACUGACUGCCUAUUUCUUUGCACUAUAGUGGCCGAUGGUGUGAACAUUAUUGGGCUGAGUACCAUUUUGUUAGGAGGUGGAGAGUCUGUUGUGCAGAGCUGUUUCUACUGCUGCAAAGUUCAACUUUGAAAGCAGAAGUGUCACCAUGCGAGUUUUGGCAUGCAUGGUAAGAUUUAAACAGUCCUCCAUGGCACAUCACUUGCCAGCUUCUAUCAAAUAAAUCUGCCUUGUACCAUAAUGGCUGUUCUGCUUGUAGCUGAAGCAGUUUGGUACCUUUGUCACCAUUUGGUUUUGUUUUGUUUGGACAGUGCUUUUUGCUAUCAACUCAGAGGAUCUGUUCUUUAAAGGGUGCAGGUAGGGAAGAAGGAUCAUUUGUUUUCAGAGUUUGUGUGCACGUGGAUAAAAUCUGAUCAUUUUUUGUGGAAAUUUCAGAUUUUCGUAACUGGAAUUUAAUUCAACUUAAUUAACAGAAAGAGAAGGAAAUUUGAAGUAAGUUGGCACUAAUUAGUAUUGCCUUGCUGACUAAAGAAGGUAUAACUUAGUAAAUGUUUGGAUUUAAGCACAUCAGUUGUGCUGAAAACAAACACUGCUGUAUAUUGUAGGUGUACUGGAGGCACAGCAGAAAAAUUAAAACCCACUGCAAAGGAAAGAGACGUUCAAUGGGAAGGCAAGCACUUGCAUUUUGUGUAGAUACAAAGCCUCCCUUAGCAUUCACAUGAUGAUAAUAAAAGAUGGUUAUCCUAGCAGCAACAGGAGAAUGGUGCAGCUUUUAAGCUCCUAAUGUCAAUCUGAGUGUGAGAUGAGCGUUAGGUUAGUGAUGCCGUGAUUCUGAUUUCAUGUUCACUCAGCAGCUCUCCACGAUGACUUCAGCCUGAGCUGUUCCCAUUAAUUGUGCAGAAGUUCUCUGUGGAUCACAGAGGGCGCCCUCUGCUCUCAGAAAUUCGGACAGAGCUGUGCCUUUUUCAGAUGAGGAUAAAGAUUGGAAGGGUUUGAA